rnacentral:rRNA from 1 species
CGUAGGGUGCGAGCGUUAAUCGGAAUUACUGGGCGUAAAGUGUGCGCAGGCGGCUCCGCAAGUCGAGUGUGAAAUCCUCGAGCUUAACUUGGGAAUUGCGCUCGAAACUACGGAACUGGAGUGUGGCAGAGGAAGGUGGAAUUCCACGUGUAGCGGUGAAAUGCGUAGAGAUGUGGAGGAACACCGAUGGCGAAGGCAGCCUUCUGGGCCAACACUGACGCUCAUGCACGAAAGCGUGGGGAGCAAACAGGAUUAGAUACCCUGGUAGUCCACGCCCUAAACGAUGAUGACUAGUUGUUGGAGGAGUUAAAUCCUUUAGUAACGCAGCUAACGCGUGAAGUCAUCCGCCUGGGGAGUACGGUCGCAAGAUUA